rnacentral:rRNA from 1 species
UACGUAGGGGCGCAGCGUUGUCCGGAUUAUUGGGCGUAAAGAGCUCGUAGGCGGUUUGGCAAGUCGGGUGUGAAAUCCCGAGGCUCAACCUCGGAACUGCCUUCGAUACUGGCAAUCUUGAGUCCGGGAGAGGUGAGUGGAACUGCGAGUGUAGAGGUGAAAUUCGUAGAUAUCGCAAGAACACCAGUGGCGAAGGCGGCUCACUGGCCCGGUACUGGACGCUGAGGUGCGAAAGCGUGGGAG